GAUGAACGCUGGCGGCGUGCCUAAUACAUGCAAGUCGAGCGAACGGACGAGAAGCUUGCUUCUCUGAUGUUAGCGGCGGACGGGUGAGUAACACGUGGAUAACCUACCUAUAAGACUGGGAUAACUUCGGGAAACCGUAGCUAAUACCGGAUAAUAUUUUGAACCGCAUGGUUCAAAAGUGAAAGACGGUCUUGCUGUCACUUAUAGAUGGAUCCGCGCUGCAUUAGCUAGUUGGUAAGGUAACGGCUUACCAAGGCAACGAUGCAUAGCCGACCUGAGAGGGGGAUCGGCCACACUGGAACUUAGACACGGUCCAGACUCCUACGGGAGGCAGCAGUAGGGAAUCUUCCGCAAUGGGCGAAAGCCUGACGGAGCAACGCCGCGUGAGUGAUGAAGGUCUUCGGAUCGUAAAACUCUGUUAUUAGGGAAGAACAUAUGUGUACGUAACUGUGCACAUCUUGACGGUACCUAAUCAGAAAGCCACGGCUAACUACGUG
rnacentral:rRNA from 1 species